AGAGUUGAUUAUGGCUCAGGAUGAACGCUGGCGGCGUGCCUAAUACAUGCAAGUCGAGCGAACAGAUAAGGAGCUUGCUCCUUGACGUUAGCGGCGGACGGGUGAGUAACACGUGGGUAACCUACCUAUAAGACUGGAAUAACUCCGGGAAACCGGGGCUAAUGCCGGAUAAUAUUUAGAACCGCAUGGUUCUAAAGUGAAAGAUGGUUUUGCUAUCACUUAUAGAUGGACCCGCGCCGUAUUAGCUAGUUGGUGGGGUAAUGGCUUACCAAGGCAACGAUACGUAGCCGACCUGAGAGGGUGAUCGGCCACACUGGAACUGAGACACGGUCCAGACUCCUACGGGAGGCAGCAGUAGGGAAUCUUCCGCAAUGGGCGAAAGCCUGACGGAGCAACGCCGCGUGAAGUGAUGAAGGUCUUCGGAUCGUAAAACUCUGUUAUUAGGGAAGAACAAAUGUGUAGGUAACUGUGCACGUCUUGACGGUACCUAAUCAGAAAGCCACGGCUAACUACGUGCCAGCCGCCGC
rnacentral:rRNA from 1 species